rnacentral:rRNA from 1 species
ACUAGCAGUAAGAGUUUGAUCAGUGGCUCAGGACGAACGCUGGCGGUGUGCUUCACACAUGCAAGUCGAACGGUAGCAAUACAGUGGCGGACGGGUGAGUAACACGUGGGAAUCUGCCUUUAGAUGGGGGAUAGCAGGCCGAAAGGCCUAUUAAUACCGCAUAUGCCGAAAGGUGAAAGGAGCAAUCCGUCUGAAGAUGAGCCCGCGUCCGAUUAGCUAGUUGGUGGGGUAAAGGCCUACCAAGGCGACGAUCCUUAGCUGGUCUGAGAGGAUGAUCAGCCACACUGGGACUGAGACACGGCCCAGACUCCUACGGGAGGCAGCAGUGGGGAAUUUUGGACAAUGGGCGAAAGCCUGAUCCAGCGAUGCCGCGUGGGUGAAGAAGGCCUUCGGGUUGUAAAGCCCUUUCGGCAGGGAAGAAAAGUCCGGAGCUAAUACCUCCGGGUCUUGACGUUACCUGCGGAAGAAGCACCGGCUAACUCCGUGCCAGCAGCCGCGGUAAUAC